GCGCCACGUGUGCGUAGGAGCGCACCGGAAGCGCCCGGCUGGAGGCGCGGCGGCAGGGCUGGGCGGCGGCGGCCGUCAUGGAGCGCCAAGAGGAUUCCCUGUCCGCGCGGCCGGCCCUGGAGACCGAGGGGCUGCGCUUCCUGCACAUCACGGUGGGCUCCCUGCUGGCCACCUAUGGCUGGUACAUCGUCUUCAGCUGCAUCCUUCUCUACGUGGUCUUUCAGAAGCUUUUCGCCCGGCUAAGAGCCUUGAGGCAGAGGCAGCUGGACCGAGCUGCGGCUGCUGUGGAACCUGAUGUUGUUGUUAAACGACAAGAAGCUUUAGCAGCUGCUCGAUUGAAAAUGCAAGAAGAACUAAAUGCGCAAGUUGAAAAGCAUAAGGAAAAACUGAAACAGGUAUGAACUGGUUUCAGUUUGAAUGUGUACAUAGAAAUUGUCUGAGGCUUAGUGGAUAACGAUGUCUGUGUGUGUGUUGUCUAUAAGCUUCUAGGACCAGGUCCUAUCCCAUUAGAUUCGAUAAGCAUUUCAGUUCCUACCGUGUAAGUAUUGGU
rnacentral:sRNA from 1 species